CUACGGAACUCCUACGGGAGGCAGCAGUGGGGAAUAUUGCACAAUGGGCGCAAGCCUGAUGCAGCGACGCCGCGUGAGGGAUGACGGCCUUCGGGUUGUAAACCUCUUUCGCCAGGGACGAAGCGCAAGUGACGGUACCUGGAGAAGAAGGACCGGCCAACUACGUGCCAGCAGCCGCGAUAAUACGUAGGGUCCGAGCGUUGUCCGGAAUUACUGGGCGUAAAGAGCUCGUAGGUGGUUUGUCGCGUUGUUCGUGAAAACUCACAGCUUAACUGUGGGCGUGCGGGCGAUACGGGCAGACUGGAGUACUGCAGGGGAGACUGGAAUUCCUGGUGUAGCGGUGGAAUGCGCAGAUAUCAGGAGGAACACCGGUGGCGAAGGCGGGUCUCUGGGCAGUAACUGACGCUGAGGAGCGAAAGCGUGGGGAGCGAACAGGAUUAGAUACCCGGGUAGUCCUCUUCGA
rnacentral:rRNA from 1 species